GUUGAGUUCAGCAUCUGCAGAAGAAAGCAGAGGAUCCUUAGUGCAAGGGAUUUUAUCUUCAUAUGAGAAAGCUCUUUUGAUACUGAAAUGGAAUGGACCAAUGAAUCAGCCUCAGAUGGUUGAAGCAACACCUGGUUUGCCAGGCUCUCCAAUUUCUGUUAAUGGAAGUCCUUCUAGUGAUGACUCUGGUAGAGGUCUCAAG
rnacentral:misc_RNA from 1 species